CUCAAGUCAGACAAGAGUGGGAAAGCAAUCACUCAAGGUGUCGUUUUUUUAUCGUAUGUGAUGUCUGCUGUGUUGGUGAUGUUCACGUUCUAUUACUCCGCAACAUUGCUACAAGAAUCAGUAGAGCGAGGAUAUUAGAUUCGCCCUGUGGAAUCACGACUGGAUGAAAACAGGAUUUAGACAUAAAAAGCUACUGAAAAUGUUUCUCCUUCGACUUAACAGCCCAAUACGGAUGAAAACAUUUCAGUUUAGACCUAUCCAUCUCGAGCGAUUUUCUCACUUUAUUGCGAACUCAUUCUCAUACAUCACAUUUUUAUUACAACUGGCUCGAGCGAAGUGAAAAUGUGUAAAGAAGCUUUAUUAUAUCCCUCUGUAGAGACGAACGUAU